CCCUUAGAUGUUCUGGGCCGCACGCGCGCUACACUGAUUCAUGCAACAAGUUUUGUCCUUGGCUGAUAGGCCUGGGUAAUCUUUGAACGUGAAUCGUGAUGGGGAUAGAUGAUUGCAAUUAUUCAUCUUCAACGAGGAAUUCCUAGUAAACGCAAGUCAUCAGCUUGCAUUGAUUACGUCCCUGCCCUUUGUACACACCGCCCGUCGCACCUACCGAUUGAAUGGUCCGGUGAAAUCUUCGGAUCUGAGAGAUGUCUGAUUAAUUUCGGACGCCUUUUGGAAAAGUUGCUUAAACCUUAUCAUUUAGAGGAAGGUGAAGUCGUAACA
rnacentral:rRNA from 1 species